AUUGAACGCUGGCGGCAUGCCUUACACAUGCAAGUCGAACGGCAGCACGGGGCAACCUGGUGGCGAGUGGCGAACGGGUGAGUAAUGCAUCGGAACGUACCUUUCAGUGGGGGAUAACGUAGCGAAAGUUACGCUAAUACCGCAUAUUCUGUGAGCAGGAAAGCAGGGGAUCGCAAGACCUUGCGCUGAUUGAGCGGCCGAUGUCAGAUUAGCUAGUUGGUGAGGUAAAGGCUCACCAAGGCGACGAUCUGUAGCGGGUCUGAGAGGAUGAUCCGCCACACUGGAACGGAGACACGGUCAAGACUCCUACGGGAGGAAGCAGUGGGGAAUUUUGGACAAUGGGGCAACCCUGAUCCAGCCAUGCCGCGUGAGUGAAGAAGGCCUUCGGGUUGUAAAGCUCUUUCGGCCGGGAAGAAAUCGCACGGGCUUAUACCCUGUGUGGAUGACGGUACCGGAAUAAGAAGCACCGGCUAACUACGUGCCAGCCGCCGCGGUAAGAC
rnacentral:rRNA from 1 species